rnacentral:rRNA from 1 species
GUGUCAGCCGCCGCGGUAAUACGUAGGUGGCAAGCGUUGUCCGGAAUUAUUGGGCGUAAAGCGCGCGCAGGCGGUUUCUUAAGUCUGGUGUGAAAGCCCCCGGCUCAACCGGGGAGGGUCAUUGGAAACUGGGGAACUUGAGUGCAGAAGAGGAGAGUGGAAUUCCACGUGUAGCGGUGAAAUGCGUAGAGAUGUGGAGGAACACCAGUGGCGAAGGCGACUCUCUGGUCUGUAACUGACGCUGAGGCGCGAAAGCGUGGGGAGCGAACAGGAUUAGAUACCCUGGUAGUCCACGCCGUAAACGAUGAGUGCUAAGUGUUAGAGGGUUUCCUCCCUUUAGUGCUGCAGCAAACGCAUUAAGCACUCCGCCUGGGGAGUACGGUCGCAAGACUGAAACUCAAAGGAAUUGGCGGGG